UGCCAGGGGUGCGUGUGCAAGAGGAGCACGUGCGUGUGUGCAAGGGCUGCGUGUGAGCUUGCGUGUGUGCAACGGGUGUGUGUGUGCGUGAGCGUGAACGUGCGUGUGCAAGGGGCGUGCAAGGCCGCGGUGCCCCCCCCCCUCCCGGCUCUACACGUUGAUCUUAUUCGAUCGGCCCCGGCCGAGAUGAGAAGAGCGGCGCCGCGAAGCCCCUGCCCCUGCCCCCGGGGCGCUGUGCGGCGGCGGCCCCGGCCCGGGCGGGAUGAGUCGAUCAGAUAGGCGAGGCGCUGAGCCGCUGAGCUGCUGCCGAGUCUGACCCGC